rnacentral:rRNA from 1 species
UACAGAGGUCCCGAGCGUUGUUCGGAUUCAUUGGGCGUAAAGGGUGCGUAGGUGGCGCUGUAAGUGGGGUGUGAAAUCCCGGGGCUUAACCCCGGGACUGCAUUCCAUACUGCGGUGCUUGAGGACUGGAGAGGAGACUGGAAUUUACGGUGUAGCAGUGAAAUGCGUAGAGAUCGUAAGGAAGACCAGUGGCGAAGGCGAGUCUCUGGACAGUAACUGACGCUGAAGCACGAAGGCCAGGGGAGCAAACGGG